rnacentral:rRNA from 1 species
UACAGAGGUGGCAAGCGUUGUUCGGAAUUACUGGGCGUAAAGGGCGCGUAGGCGGCCUACUAAGUCAGACGUGAAAUCCCCCGGCUUAACCUGGGAACUGCGUCUGAUACUGGAAGGCUUGAGGAUGGGAGAGGGAUGUAGAAUUCCAGGUGUAGCGGUGAAAUGCGUAGAUAUCGGGAGGAACACCAGUGGCGCAAGCGGCGGCCUGGGUAUGACCUGACACUGAGCCACGACGGCGUGGGGAGCAAACGGG